AGGCGCUCGCUGAGCUCCCGCAGCAGCCGCACGCGUCGCCGGAACGCCUGGCCCAGCCGCUCCACUCUGCUCCCCGCCGCUUCGUCGCCAGGAGCGGGCGGCGCGGGGAUACUCCCGGGGGCCCCGGGCGCGGUCUCGGGGAAGAGGCGGAAGCUGAAAUUGCGCGACGGGGACAUCUGCUGAAAGGUCGCCCAGCCCGAAACGAGCGCCAGACCCCAGCAACAAAAGGCCAGGCGAGGCCACAUCGCGCUGGAGACAGAGCGGCUGCCCCGGAGCGCAGGCGGCGGCUCGGGCGGGAAGAGGCGCUGGGCGGCCGGACUCGCAGAGGGGCGUGCGCGGAGCUGGGCGCGGGGCAGCGGCCAAGAGCCUCAGCGCCCUUUCAUCUGACACUGGGGACAGACACAAUCCAGACUCCUCAGCAGCUCGGGAACUCCGGAGGGAACGGCGCGCGCUCUCUACCCCUCUCGCUCUCCUCUUUUUUUCUUCCCUCUCUCCUCCUCCUCUCUCUCCCUGAAGCCUAUAAAAUGUUUGAAGGAAAGGGGGCAGUCAAGAAAAAUCUCCCGCUUCCCUCCUUCUCUCCCUCUCUCCCUCUCCCCGCUCCUGUCUACUUUCUGUAUCUGUGACUCUAUCUCCCUCCUCCCCCUCUCAUUCUCCUCCCGGGAUCAAGCCAAAGGCUCGGAGAUUCCAUGACACCAGAACCCCGCGUCUGUCAGGCUGUCAACAUUCCCGCAGCAAGCGCACCAGCGCCGAAGCCCUGAUUGAUCCCAUAUGUCUGGCAGGAGCUGCAGAGGAAUUCACUGGAGAUGGAUCCAGAUACCGAGAGUGCCACAGUAAUUGGAAACACUUUGUAGACGAAAACAUACACGCGGACUGGCCAGGGAGUUGAAAGCAUCCUUUGAAAACUGCUUGCUCACCUUUUGUGUUUCUUUUCCCCCAUUCAGUGUCCCAAAGCCCUCGCCAAAUAGAUGAUUGUACAAUUUUCCUGAUGGGGAUUUCUAAUCAGUGGUGUGUGUGAGCGUGCAGAUUAAGCCCUUAAGGGCCCCCUCAGAUCACACCAUAAAGGAGUUGCAUCUAACCUUAUGCGUUCCACAGGAAUGAUUUGUCAUGGUACUUCAGUCGUGCAUUUAUUCAUUCAUCUGUUUGUUCAUUCUUUCCUGAUUUUAACAAAUAUUUUUUGAAUACCCAUUGUGUGCCAGGAACUAUGUGAGGCACUGCAAAUAUAAGGAACAAAAAUUGACAGGGAUUCUAUCCUCAAUGAACUUAAAGGGUAACAAGUGAGGUGACCAUUAACCAGAUAUUAACAUACAAAAUAUAUGUAAUUACAAGUGACCAUGCUAAAUAAAGGAGAGCUUAGGUAGACAGACUUGACCUUGGAGAGGCCAGAGAAGCCUUCUCUGAGGACAGAAAGUUUGUGCUGAAGUCUGAAGUGUAAGUAGGGGGUCCCCAGUCCCCUUUCAUGUGUUCUUGAUCUAUUUCAACAGAUAAGAUCCACCUGGCUUUAAGUGGUACCUGGCAUAUAUCUGCUUUGAAACAAGUUGCUACCUGGGGUGGUUUUUCCAAAGCAAGACCUCCAAAGGGGAGAGCGCACGUGUAAAGAAAAGGUGCACUUUGCAUGAGGGUGGGGCCUUUGGUUAAAAGAUUCCAGCUGGGAGUCAGGAACACCGUGUAGGUAAGCCUACGGUUAUGUAAACCACCUGAACUGAGUCACUUCCAAUCCUUGGCUCAGCAUCAGUAUCUAUUUCAUGAUGGAAUUCAGUGAUCUCAGUUUCCUCUGUUUCUAAUAGUGAAUGAUUUAACUCCGUCUGUAUUUAACAAAAUACUUUCAGUGACAAGUAUCACAAUGUAUUGUGUAACAUGUUAGGGCUCUGGCAUCAGUUUUCCUGGACGAAAUCAUGACUCUGCCAUUUAUUAGUUGUACAGCCUUGACUCAGUUUGUUCAUUUGUAAAAUGGAGUAAUAACGAUAACAUAUUAAGGGCUGUCAUAAGGAUUAAGUCAUAAAAAAGUAAAAUUCUUAGGACAAUGCUUGGAGCAUAGCGUGUACUCAAUAAAUGCUGGCUGGUUGCUCUUAUUGCCACCUU
rnacentral:lncRNA from 1 species